CUGGAUUGUUCUGGACUAUUUUGGAUUAUUCUCGAUCACCCCCCUGGGACCUGACUCGUCAUUACCCUUGUCAGUUGUCAUUAUUGUAUAGUUUGCUGAUACUUAUUGUGAAUUUACUAUACGAAGUAAAAAUGUUUAUUGGCAGUCAAUCUCUGAACUUGAAACAAUAGCAAUAGUCUAGCCUGUCUAGCUAUAAUUAUACUCUUUCGCAUGGUUGCAAGAAGAAUCCAACAGAAACCAGACAGUUCUCUCCCUCCCACGCUAUGUGUAAAAAGAAGCACUGGCAGUGGCAAAAAGGUGUGGCUGGAUCCAAUAAUCAGAGAUGGGGCCACGUAUGUACAGUGAACGUGAACAGAGGAACAGUGGCAGUAGCAGCGAGAGAGAAGCCGGAUCGCUGCAUAUGACGCCAAUUGGCGUCAACGGCCGUGUCGGCCACUUACCAGAGUGACGCCAAUAGGCGUCAUUGACGCAUAAUCGGUUAAGUCAUUAUAAGUGUGCAUUAAAACUAAAUCAUGCAUAUUUAUUAUGGUGUUCACUUAAUGAAUAAUUACAAUAAUGUUAUAAUUCAAACGUAAAUUGCAACUGUUAAUCCGGCCAUGCAUGCAUGCAGGUAUUAUGGCUCUAUUUAAACUUUUAUUUCGAGUUUGAAGUCCAAGCAAGCUACUUCUGUCUUAUUCUCAUCAGAAACAACAAGAUGAACUUCAUACCAGCCCUGCAGUUAUGACACAAUAAUUAUAGUUGGACCAAUUAGCGUAUAAUUUUUAUAUACAUGUAUUGCAUUUACAGCAUAUAAUUAUAGGUUCAACAGUAAAUUA